CUGACUGUGCAAAGGUAGCAUAAUCAAUUGGCCUCUAAUUAAGGUCUGGAAUGAACGAACUUAUGGGUAGCAACUGUCUUAAAAUAGUUUAUUAAAUUGAUCAAUAAGUGCAAAUACUUAUUCAAUUAUAUUAGACGAGAAGACCCUAGAAACUUAUAAUUAUUUUGUUGGGGCGACAGAAUUACAUAAAACUAAUUUUAUUUUACGGGACGUAAAACAGAAAGAAAAAGUUACUCUAGGGAUAACAGCAUAAUUUUAAUAGCUUGUGACCUCGAUGUUGGACUAGGUAGAUGGCUUUUUAGAAGAAAGC
rnacentral:rRNA from 1 species